CAAAAUUAUGAUCGUCCUUAUGAGAUUAAUAAAAGUGGUAAUUGCAUAGAAAUUAGGAGAUAAAAAGUCAUAAUUACAGCAUAAAAUGUAGAAAGUAUGACAAACAAAUAUAAUAAUUGUCAGAUAAGUCUAAUUAAAGUAGAAAUAAAGUCAACUCAAAUUAGUCAUUAUAGAAUAAAAAGACAUAACUGCGACAAUAAAGCAAAACCUCAUAAUACACAACAAUCAAGACAACAAUAUUUACUUCUAUUUCUUUAUUUCAACAAAACAAGAGGCUACAUACAUUUAAGAAAGAUUGCUUUGCAAAAACAUCAAAUGGCUCAUAGCAUCAUAAACCAAACCCAGUUCAAUAUUAACAAGAAGACAUUUGUACAAUAUAAAACCUCUGUAAUCUCAAAAUAAUCUGUGAAAGUCGGACAGAAAGAAAACAAUUCAGUAGAAAGAUAAGAGUUUGGUUUCUGUGUCUGUAGUGAUUAGUCAAUGUGCGUAUCUCUGGUUAGGUUAGUAUUCUGAGAGAAAAUGGACUGUUAAACGGUCGCCGCGUUUGUUUGACCUGCAAACAUUUUUCAGUGAACACCUGAGGGACAAGAAACAUGACGUUACUGCGAGUCGAUGAGGUUUUUUGGUAGAAUCCUAACAACUUCAGACCUCGAACGUUCUUUGAAAAACAUCAACUUCCUAUGGAUUUUGUCUUGUUAAAAGAACAACUAGAAGUUCCCUCGUGAAGAAACCUGAAGAAACACUAAAGAGGAGGUAUAUCAGGAACUAUAUCCAUCAAUAAAGAGAUCACGUGCGAUAAAUGCAAAGACAUUUACUUUUACUAUAAUAAAUGAAGAUUGCUCUGCAACUUGUUAAUACAAAAACCAACAUAACAGUGAAAUGCAAAGUCUGUUUGAGAUGCUACGGAUAAAAGUACUGCCACUGAAAAGAUGCGAACGGCAUAAGUUCGAACUAAAUGCGACGCACGAUAGUGAGGAAAAGUGAGGUAGAAACACUGAGUAUGUAAACCAAAACACUGAAUAGAAAUGAUUUCUAACUAACAGAAGGAAAACUAUUUCUCGCUGGCUUUACCUGGUACAAAUGUCCAGUUCACAGGAAAAAAUAGUGACUAGCUUCUAAUUGCGACCUUUUAUGUAGGUAUUUUAAGUAGUUCACCUUAAAAAUCGACCUUUCCAGAUGUACAGUAGAUGAGCUUGUUUCUUCAUGGGAACAGAUUUGGAGAAAUGCUCUGCAGUGAAUGGGUGCCUGAUGCAAUGCUAGAUGAAGAAACAAACUCAUCUAUAUCUUGGAUGGCCUGAAAGUGAGUACAUUUUCGGCAAAACUAUUCUUUCAACCUUGAAUGUGAGUACAAUUAACAUGCAUCUUUAAAUUUAAAGCAAAUACUGAAGACAUUUUUUUUCACAAAGGUCUGUAUCUGAGAUCUGGCAGAGCUCUAAAGUAUGUGGUAGUGUGUUUGGGUCAAACAGAACUGAAGAGAAUUCAAGCUACAGUGACUCAACGGCACCCAUAGAAACAGAAUCAUGCAACAUUCCGUUUGGAAUCACACGAUGUGAGGCGCUACAUUUCAAACAAUUCAAACUGGUCCAUUCCAACCGAACCAAAACACUCCAGACAAUGUGAAUGUAACGCCCGUUUUAAAGCUUUUUUUGAUGUGAAGAGCCAAAAGGAAAUCAGACAUUUUGCUACAACAAUGUGAAGUCAGAUGAAAACCAAGGCUAACGACAACAAAACUCAUUUGAUCCCUCACCAAAUUAAUAUUUACACAACGUCAACAGUCGAGCCUGCAUAGAAAAUCAAAUAAUCUCCUGUUCAACGGCAUUGGUGCAAAUAAUAGUCUGCUUUUUGUUUAUACCCGAUCUAUAUCUAGACAAAGUGGCUAAAAAUGGGAUGAUUUGGACUAAAGAAAAUUAAGUUAUUUGACAAAACUUGUAAAUGCAUCACAGGAUCUUGUCAAAGGAAUAUUAUAAAUAUAUAUAUAUAUAUAUAUAAUGCUUGAGAGAACUGUAAUCUUAAACCAAAAUGGUGACAUUUCAAAUAAAAAAAAAUUUAAAUUUAAAAUGAGAACCAAUCCAAACACUUUCUAAAAAUGUAAAAAUAAGGCACAAAGGGUGUGUGUGUGUUUUUUUUUUUUUUUUAAAGAGGUGCUGUUUUUAGGGUCAGAAACAUUCACACCUACAGGAGAGACGGGUCACUAUGCACCCAGUCAUUCACAUUAUAUCGUUCACAGUAUGUGAUUGUGAGUUUUAUAAUAACUUCCUUCUCUGUUGUUCUGUGAAUAUUUUAGAGCAUUGAACAACAUUCGCUCGAUCCUAGUGCUGCAUUACGAACAUCUAACUAUUUACAUCUGUACUGUCUGGUAAACGUUAGGUAGUUUUCACAGAGGUGCAGACGGGAUAUGUUUGUUUGAGGACAUAGUGCAACGUGUGUGUCUAAAUCUGGUCCAAAACAACAGCACAAUCACAGCAGAGCACGAGAGGGACGUGAAAACAUUGCUGGUGAGAUCUGAGCAGGAAAACGCACGGUCAGUUUGGAAGACUUGCAUGAGGAUCUGGAGUAGAAAAUGAGCGUGUUAAUAAAAUAGCAUUUCCUUGUGAGGGGGUUUAAAUAUAGAUAUCAAGUCAUUUAAUUUCACUUCUGCUUUUUGGAAACGGUCACAAAAUGAAAUUCACAGUUCCUGGAUCCGCUGUCCCUUUUCAUUUCCAUCGCUGGGCAAACCUG